rnacentral:rRNA from 1 species
GAUGAACGCUGGCGGCGUGCCUAAUACAUGCAAGUCGAGCGAACGGACGAGAAGCUUGCUUCUCUGAUGUUAGCGGCGGACGGGGGAGUAACACGUGGAUAACCUACCUAUAAGACUGGGAUAACUUCGGGAAACCGGAGCUAAUACCGGAUAAUAUUUUGAACCGCAUGGUUCAAAAGUGAAAGACGGUCUUGCUGUCACUUAUAGAUGGAUCCGCGCUGCAUUAGCUAGUUGGUAAGGUAACGGCUUACCAAGGCAACGAUGCAUAGCCGACCUGAGAGGGUGAUCGGCCACACUGGAACUGAGACACGGUCCAGACUCCUACGGGAGGCAGCAGUAGGGAAUCUUACGCAAUGGGCGAAAGCCUGACGGAGCAACGCCGCGUGAGUGAUGAAGGUCUUCGGAUCGUAAAACUCUGUUAUUAGGGAAGAACAUAUGUGUAAGUAACUGUGCACAUCUUGACGGUACCUAAUCAGAAAGCCACGGCUAACUACGUG